AUCGAACGCUGGCGGCAUGCCUUACACAUGCAAGUCGAACGGUAACAGGUCUUCGGAUGCUGACGAGUGGCGAACGGGUGAGUAAUACAUCGGAACGUGCCUAGUAGUGGGGGAUAACUACUCGAAAGAGUGGCUAAUACCGCAUGAGAUCUACGGAUGAAAGCAGGGGAUCGCAAGACCUUGUGCUACUAGAGCGGCCGAUGGCAGAUUAGGUAGUUGGUGGGAUAAAAGCUUACCAAGCCGACGAUCUGUAGCUGGUCUGAGAGGACGAUCAGCCACACCGGGACUGAGACACGGCCCAGACUCCGACGGGAGGCAGCAGUGGGGAAUUUUGGACAAUGGGCGAAAGCCUGAUCCAGCAAUGCCGCGUGCAGGAUGAAGGCCUUCGGGUUGUAAACUGCUUUUGUACGGAACGAAAAGCCCCGGGUUAAUACCCUGGGGUCAUGACGGUACCGUAAGAAUAAGCACCGGCUAACUACGUGCCAGCCGCCGCAGUAA
rnacentral:rRNA from 1 species